UACGUAGGGGGCGAGCGUUAUCCGGAUUUAUUGGGCGUAAAGCGUGCGUAGGUGGUUUAUUAAGUUUAAGAUAAAAGCCCGGAGCUUAACUCCGGUUCGUCUUAAAAACUGGUAGCCUUGAGUAUGGUAGAGGUAAAUGGAAUUUCUAGUGUAGCGGUGAAAUGCGUAGAUAUUAGAAGGAACACCAGUGGCGAAGGCGAUUUACUGGGCCAUAACUGACGCUGAGGCACGAAAGCGUGGGUAACAAAUA
rnacentral:rRNA from 1 species